rnacentral:rRNA from 1 species
GACGAACGCUGGCGGCGUGCUUAACACAUGCAAGUCGAACGAUGAAGCCAGCUUGCUGGUGGAUUAGUGGCGAACAGGUGAGUAACACGUGGGUAACCUGCCCUCAGCUUUGGGAUAACUCCAAGAAAUUGGGGCUAAUACCGGAUAUGACUGCUCAUCGCAUGGUGGGUGGUGGAAAGUUUUUCGGCUGGGGAUGGGCCCGCGGCCUAUCAGCUUGUUGGUGGGGUGAUGGCCUACCAAGGCGACGACGGGUAGCCGGCCUGAGAGGGUGACCGGCCACACUGGGCCUGAGACACGGCCCAGACUCCUACGGGAGGCAGCAGUGGGGAAUAUUGCGCAAUGGGCGGAAGCCUGACGCAGCGACGCCGCGUGGGGGAUGACGGCCUUCGGGUUGUAAACCUCUUUCAGCAGGGACGAAGCGGAAGUGACGGUACCUGCAGAAGAAGCACCGGCCAACUACGUGCCAGCCGCCGCCGUAACAC